AAUGAGAAAUCGGUAUUAUAAAGUGGCAUACUUGGGAAGAAUCAUUCAGGCCAUCAAUCUCUGCAAGCAUAUGUGAUACCUGAGAAACGACACGGUCCAUAACUCCCCCAGAAUCAGAAUCAUCAGAAGCACCUCUGGCUGGAAACCCCCAAAUCCUACAUAUUAACAUAUCUGAUGAGAAUCACGGUGGAAGAUAUUGGUGGUGGAGAUUUCUUGGCUAUUGAAUA
rnacentral:lncRNA from 1 species